rnacentral:snoRNA from 1 species
UGACCUAUGAUAAGCAUGUGUUAUGAACCAAGUUGAUGAGUAAUGCAGUUUAGCACACAUGAGGUACACG